ACGGCUCAGUAACACGUGGACAACCUAACCUACAGAGGGGGAUAACCCCGGGAAACUGGGGAUAAUACCCCAUAGACUAUGGAUGCUGGAAUGCUUCGUAGUUGAAAGGUCCGCCGCUGUAGGAUGGGUCUGCGGCCGAUUAGGUUGUUGUUGGGGUAACGGCCCAACAAGCCUGUAAUCGGUACGGGUUGUGGGAGCAAGAGCCCGGAGAUGGAUUCUGAGACACGAAUCCAGGCCCUACGGGGCGCAGCAGGCGCGAAAACUUUACAAUGCGGGAAACCGUGAUAAGGGAACUCUGAGUGCCCGUAAAAUCGGGCUGUCCAUCAGUUUAAAAAACUGGUGAAGAAAGGGCCGGGCAAGACCGGUGCCAGCCGCCGCGGUAAUACCGGCGGCUCGAGUGGUGGCCACUAUUACUGGGCUUAAAGCGUUCGUAGCUGGUCUGUUAUGUCUCUGGGGAAAUCUUCCGGCUUAACCGGAAGGCGUCUCAGGGAUACUGGCAGACUAGGGACCGGGAGAGGUGAGAGGUACUCCAGGGGUAGGAGUGAAAUCCUGUAAUCCUUGGGGGACCACCUGUGGCGAAGGCGUCUCACCAGAACGGCUCCGACAGUGAGGGACGAAAGCUGGGGGAGCAAACCGGAUUAGAUACCCGGGUAGUCCCAGCUGUAAACGAUGCGCGUUAGGUGUAUCGGUGACCACGAGUCACCGAGGUGCCGAAGAGAAAUCGUGAAACGUGCCGCCUGGGAAGUACGGACGCAAGGCUGAAACUUAAAGGAAUUGGCGGGGGAGCAC
rnacentral:rRNA from 1 species